rnacentral:rRNA from 1 species
AAGCGGGAAAAGCUCAAAUUUUGAAUCUGGUGGUCCUCGUGGCCGUCCGAGUUGUAAUCUAGAGAAGCGUCUUCCGCGCUGGACCGUGUACAAGUCUCCUGGAAGGGAGCGUCAUAGAGGGUGAGAAUCCCGUCUUUGACACGGACUGCCAGGGCUAUGUGAUGCGCUCUCGAAGAGUCGAGUUGUUUGGGAAUGCAGCUCAAAACGGGUGGUAAAUUCCAUCUAAAGCUAAAUACAGGCGAGAGACCGAUAGCGAACAAGUACCGUGAGGGAAAGAUGAAAAGAACUUUGGAAAGAGAGUUAAACAGUACGUGAAAUUGCUGAAAGGGAAACGCUUGAUGUCAGUCGCGUCCGCCAGGGAUCAACCUUGCAUUCGUUUGCUGGGCGCAAUUCUUGGUAGGACGGGUCAGCAUCAGUUUCGAUCGUCGUAGAAUGGUCAAGGGAAUGUGGCACCUCCAGGGGUGUGUUAUAGCCCUGGGUCGUAUGCGUCGGUAGGGACUGAGGAACUCGGCACGAACCCCUUUGUGUCUAGGAUGCUGGCAUAAUGGCCUUAAGCGACCCGUCUUGAAACACGGACCAAGGAGUCUAACAUGCCUGCGAGUGUUUGGGUGGUAAAACUCGAGCGCGCAAUGAAAGUGAAAGUCGAGAUCUCUGUCGUGGAGAGCAUCGACGCCCGGACC